GAUGAAGAACGCAGCGAAAUGCGAUACUUGGUGUGAAUUGCAGAAUCCCGUGAACCAUCGAGUCUUUGAACGCAAGUUGCGCCCGAAGCCACUAGGCCGAGGGCACGCCUGCCUGGGCGUCACACGUCGUUGCCCCCCACCAUCUACUCCUUCGGGAUUGCGGGGGGCGGAUGAUGGCCUCCCGUGCGCCUAGCCGCGCGGUUGGCAUAAAUACCAAGUCCUCGGCGACGCACGCCACGACAAUCGGUGGUUGCGAAACCUCGGUUGCCCGUCGUGUGCGUUCGUCGCGCAUCGAGGGCUCGAAAAAAUGCUCGGCUCCGGCUCGGCUUUCAACGCGACCCCAGGUCAGGCGGGGUUACCCGCUGAAUUUAAGCAUAUCAAUAAACGGAGGA
rnacentral:misc_RNA from 1 species